rnacentral:rRNA from 1 species
GACGAACGCUGGCGGCGUGCUUAACACAUGCAAGUCGAACGGAAAGGCCCUGCUUUUGUGGGGUGCUCGAGUGGCGAACGGGUGAGUAACACGUGAGUAACCUGCCCUUGACUUUGGGAUAACUUCAGGAAACUGGGGCUAAUACCGGAUAGGAGCUCCUGCUGCAUGGUGGGGGUUGGAAAGUUUCGGCGGUUGGGGAUGGACUCGCGGCUUAUCGGCUUGUUGGUGGGGUAGUGGCUUACCAAGGCUUUGACGGGUAGCCGGCCUGAGAGGGUGACCGGCCACAUUGGGCCUGAGAUACGGCCCAGACUCCUACGGGGGGCAGCAGUGGGGAGUAUUGCACAGUGGGCGGAAGCCUGAUGCAGCAACGCCGCGUGCGGGAUGACGGCCUUCGGGUUGUAAACCGCUUUCGCCUGUGACGAAGCGUGAGUGACGGUAAUGGGUAAAGAAGCACCGGCUAACUACGUG